rnacentral:lncRNA from 1 species
UCAAGAAGAAGGAGCUACUCCCCACCACCAGCACCCAAAGCUGGUAUUCUAAUUAAACUACUUCUUGAGUACAUAAAUUUACAUAGUACAACAGUACAUUUAUGUAUAUCGUACAUUAAACUAUUUUCCCCAAGCAUAUAAGCUAGUACAUUAAAUCAAUGGUUCAGGUCAUAAAAUAAUCAUCAACAUAAAUCAAUAUAUAUACCAUGAAUAUUAUCUUAAACACAUUAAACUAAUGUUAUAAGGACAUAUCUGUGUUAUCUGACAUACACCAUACAGUCAUAAACUCUUCUCUUCCAUAUGACUAUCCCCUUCCCCAUUUGGUCUAUUAAUCUACCAUCCUCCGUGAAACCAACAACCCGCCCACCAAUGCCCCUCUUCUCGCUCCGGGCCCAUUAAACUUGGGGGUAGCUAAACUGAAACUUUAUCAGACAUCUGGUUCUUACUUCAGGGCCAUCAAAUGCGUUAUCGCCCAUACGUUCCCCUUAAAUAAGACAUCUCGAUGGUAUCGGGUCUAAUCAGCCCAUGACCAACAUAACUGUGGUGUCAUGCAUUUGGUAUCUUUUUAUUUUGGCCUACUUUCAUCAACAUAGCCGUCAAGGCAUGAAAGGACAGCACACAGUCUAGACGCACCUACGGUGAAGAAUCAUUAGUCCGCAAAACCCAAUCACCUAAGGCUAAUUAUUCAUGCUUGUUAGACAUAAAUGCUACUCAAUACCAAAUUUUAACUCUCCAAACCCCCCACCCCCUCCUCUUAAUGCCAAACCCCAAAAACACUAAGAACUUGAAAGACAUAUAAUAUUAACUAUCAAACCCUAUGUCCUGAUCAAUUCUAGUAGUUCCCAAAAUAUGACUUAUAUUUUAGUACUUGUAAAAAUUUUACAAAAUCAUGUUCCGUGAACCAAAACUCUAAUCAUACUCUAUUACGCAAUAAACAUU